rnacentral:rRNA from 1 species
GUGCCAGCCGCCGCGGUAAGACGAACCGUCCGAACGUUAUUCGGAAUUACUGGGCUUAAAGGGUGCGUAGGCGGCUCUGAAAGUUGGGUGUGAAAUCCCUCGGCUCAACCGAGGAAUUGCGCCCAAAACUACAGAGCUUGAGGGAGACAGAGGUGAGCGGAACUUGCGGUGGAGCGGUGAAAUGCGUUGAUAUCGCAAGGAACACCAGGGGCGAAAGCGGCUCACUGGGUCUCUUCUGACGCUGAGGCACGAAAGCUAGGGGAGCGAACGGGAUUAGAUACCCCCGUAGUCC